CGGGUGCUAACGUCCGUCGUGAAGAGGGAAACAACCCAGACCGCCAGCUAAGGUCCCAAAGUCAUGGUUAAGUGGGAAACGAUGUGGGAAGGCCCAGACAGCCAGGAUGUUGGCUUAGAAGCAGCCAUCAUUUAAAGAAAGCGUAAUAGCUCACUGGUCGAGUCGGCCUGCGCGGAAGAUGUAACGGGGCUAAACCAUGCACCGAAGCUGCGGCAGCGACGCUUAUGCGUUGUUGGGUAGGGGAGCGUUCUGUAAGCCUGCGAAGGUGUGCUGUGAGGCAUGCUGGAGGUAUCAGAAGUGCGAAUGCUGACAUAAGUAACGAUAAAGCGGGUGAAAAGCCCGCUCGCCGGAAGACCAAGGGUUCCUGUCCAACGUUAAUCGGGGCAGGGUGAGUCGACCCCUAAGGCGAGGCCGAAAGGCGUAGUCAAUGGGAAACAGGUUAAUAUUCCUGUACUUGGUGUUACUGCGAAGGGGGGACGGAGAAGGCUAUGUUGGCCGGGCGACGGUUGUCCCGGUUUAAGCGUGUAGGCUGGUUUUCCAGGCAAAUCCGGAAAA
rnacentral:rRNA from 1 species